UACGUAGGGUGCGAGCGUUGUCCGGAAUUAUUGGGCGUAAAGAGCUCGUAGGCGGUGUGUCACGUCGGCCGUGAAAACCUGCAGCUUAACUGUGGGCGUGCGGUCGAUACGGGCAUCACUGGAGUUCGGCAGGGGAGACUGGAAUUCCUGGUGUAGCGGUGAAAUGCGCAGAUAUCAGGAGGAACACCGGUGGCGAAGGCGGGUCUCUGGGCAACAACUGACGCUGGAGGAGCGAAAGCGUGGGGGAGCGAACAGG
rnacentral:rRNA from 1 species